UCCUUUCUGAAAAGAAAGAAUUACUACAGGGUACUUUCUCUUCAUUUAAGACGGUUGCUACAUUUUUUUCUCUUUUACAUAUAUUCAUUGUGUGUGUGUGUGUGUGUGUGUGUGUGUGUGUGUAUGCACAAGAGCAAGUGCAUCCAGUGACAGAAAUAAGGAAGUCAUAAGACAAUGUGUAAGAUUCCAUCAGGCACUCUGUGGCUCCUGGGAUCAGAGCUCAGGCUUAGUUUCAAGCACCUUUACCUGCUAAGCUGUCUCACCAGCCUUAAGACAGAAAAACUUUGACUAUAACAGUAAGUAAAAAAGCACACUUCUUUCUGUAUAACAUACAUAUCUGUUCUUUCUCUGCUGCUAAUGAGGCUGUCUCAUCCUUGCUGUAAUUUCCAUUACCACUAGGGGUUUUGAUGGCAGCUUGGCCCUGAGCACGGGGUGAUAACACCACCUGGGCUAUGAUCUGAGGGAGAGGAGACAACUUCCUCAUAACUCUCUUAUCUCUUCAAUUUGAGUAGAUUCCAAAGGCAAAACCCAGUUUAAAAUGCAGAUAACAGGCAGAAAGGCAUUUAGGGUUGUCCUACAAGAAAUACAGAUGAUUUCAGCUGAGAUGUUGGCCAGAGAAAUGGAAGUUUCGUCCUGGGGUGUCAGACUGUCUUUUAACUUCAUGAGUUCCUCUCAUCUUUCAGAAUCUACACAAUAGGAGAGUUGUUUGGAAACAUAGGGGUUACAUGAACUUGUGACUUCCUGAGGAAGUGAGUGUACUGGUAGAAUACCUUCACCUUUUAAUACCAGUGUGUUGCAAAAUUAUUCUGCUCUUCAGUAAAAAUGAUUAAUAGUCCCCAUCCAUCACACUGUAUAGCGUGGUAAUCUAAGUACCAUAUAGCUUAUAAAAUAUAGUUGGCAAUAAUUCACAAAACAGUCAUAUUUUAAUAACAUAUUGGAAGAAGAAAAACCCAUUUUCAAUAUAUUCUGGCCUAUCUUCCCUCCAGAUUUUGCCAUUAAAGAUAAUCUUGAAGUCAAAUUUUCCCCUUCUUCAUUGGUGCUUUACUGUUUUUCUAAACAAAACAAAACAAAACAAAAC
rnacentral:lncRNA from 1 species